UCCCCUCCUAAUUUUUUGUUGUAUAUUGUUCCUGUAUAUAUGUACAUUUAGUCAGUGCUUACUGUAUCCCUGGACUCUGGUUCAGUUAUGGUUAAUUGUUGGCGUGAAGAUGAAGAAAUGUGUAAUUUUGAAUAGUGUUGAAAUUUCCCACAGUUUGGAAAGACCUUGAACUUUUAAGUUCCCCGUUUGUUAUGUACAUUGGUCAGUUGGUGGGCACCAUGUUAUUGUUUAGCCAAUCAGUGCCAAGUCAGGAUAAUUUUGGUAGCCUACCGGGUUCUUAGUAGGGCGGGAGUUAACGCAGAACAUGCUGCAGACGUAAGUGCGGAGAAAGGAGAGAAAACGGGAGGAAAAGGGAGAUGUGAAGCGCUGUUUCUAGCUGUGGCCUUGCUGCGUUGGGGGAGAAGAGACAAGUCUGUGAGGAGCACGGGGUUUUUUUUUGCUUCUGAGUGAGUAUGGUUUAUAAAACUAUAAAGACGAGUAAAUUUAUGGUUUAUUGACAGGAUGUUUAUUAGUGGUUUCUGAAUCUUAUUGAUAGUGUGCUUCGGACACUGCCGCACCUGCUGCUGCAGUAGAGGUGCUCAGGGCUUCCCGCUGCAAGAGAAACCUGCUUCCUGCGCACGCGCGGACCAGGCCGCAGGGCCGUUUCUUCUCAUCGCUCAGCUGAUGGACAACUGAGUUGACUUGACUGCUAUAUCUGCUUUGUCCAUGGGACUGUGAGUACAGACAGCUCUCCACCAGAGGUCUUACAUGAGCUCCAACUGCGCGCCAACGGCCAUGGUACCAUAAACUGAAUAACAAAAUCCCGGGUAUUAUUUAGACAUUGUUUAAUUCAUUUCUUUUAAUUUUAUUUUAUUUGGGGUUUUGAAAUAAAUAUUUUUGUGGGUCUGCAUACAGAA